rnacentral:rRNA from 1 species
CCUACGGGAGGCAGCAGUGAGGAAUAUUGGUCAAUGGACGAGAGUCUGAACCAGCCAAGUAGCGUGAAUGAUGACUGCCCUAUGGGUGGUAAACUUCUUUUAUAAAGGAAUAAAACGAGGCACGUGUGCCUUGUUGCAUGUACUUUAUGAAUAAGGAUCGGCUAACUCCGUGCCAGCAGCCGCGGUAAUACGGAGGAUCCGAGCGUUACCCGGAUUUAUGGGGUUAAAGGGGCGCGUGGAGGGGUUGUAAAGUCAGUGGUAAAAGUUUGCGGUUAAACCGUAAAAUGGUAAUGAAUACUGGCAGUUUGAGUACAGUUGAGGUAGGCGGAAUUCGUGGUGUAGCGGUGAAAUGCUUAGAUAUCACGAAGAACACCGAUUGCGAAGGCAGCUUACUAAACUGUGACUGACAUUGAUGCUCGAAAGUGUGGGUAUCAAACAGGAUUAGAUACCCGGGUAGUC